CUAAGAGAUCGGUCCCGCGGUGUAUUAGUUAGUUGGUGAGGUAAUGGCUCACCAAGACAAUGAUACAUAGCCGAGUUGAGAGACUGACCGGCCACAAUGGGACUGAGACACGGCCCAUACUCCUACGGGAGGCAGCAGUAGGAAUCUUCCACAAUGGACGAAAGUCUGAUGGAGCAACGCCGCGUGUGUGAUGAAGGGUUUCGGCUCGUAAAACACCGUUGUAAGAGAAGAAUGACAUUGAGAGUAACUGUUCAAUGUGUGACGGUAUCUUACCAGAAAGGAACGGCUAAAUACGUG
rnacentral:rRNA from 1 species